GAACGCUAGCUACAGGCUUAACACAUGCAAGUCGAGGGGCAGCAUGGUCUUAGCUUGCUAAGGCCGAUGGCGACCGGCGCACGGGUGAGUAACGCGUAUCCAACCUGCCUUACACUCUUGGACAGCCUUCUGAAAGGGAGAUUAAUACAAGAUGUUAUCAUGAGUAAGCAUUUUCGCAUGAUUAAAGGUUUACCGGUGUAAGAUGGGGAUGCGUUCCAUUAGAUAGUAGGCGGGGUAACGGCCCACCUAGUCUUCGAUGGAUAGGGGUUCUGAGAGGAAGGUCCCCCACAUUGGAACUGAGACACGGUCCAAACUCCUACGGGAGGCAGCAGUGAGGAAUAUUGGUCAAUGGACGAGAGUCUGAACCAGCCAAGUAGCGUGAAGGAUGAAGGUUCUAUGGAUUGUAAACUUCUUUUAUACGGGAAUAAACGAAUCCACGUGUGGAUUUUUGCAUGUACCGUAUGAAUAAGGAUCGGCUAACUCCGUGCCAGCAGCCGCGGUAAUACGGAGGAUCCGAGCGUUAUCCGGAUUUAUUGGGUUUAAAGGGAGCGUAGAUGGGUUGUUAAGUCAGUUGUGAAAGUUUGCGGCUCAACCGUAAAAUUGCAAUUGAUACUGGCAGUCUUGAGUACAGUUGAGGUAGGCGGAAUUCGUGGUGUAGCGGUGAAAUGCUUAGAUAUCACGAAGAACUCCGAUUGCGAAGGCAGCUUACUAACCUGUAACUGACAUUGAUGCUCGAAAGUGUGGGUAUCAAACAGGAUUAGAUACCCUGGUAGUCCACACGGUAAACGAUGAAUACUCGCUGUAGGCGAUAUACAGUCUGCGGCCAAGCGAAAGCAUUAAGUAUUCCACCUGGGGAGUACGCCGGCAACGGUGAAACUCAAAGGAAUUGACGGGGGCCCGCACAAGCGGAGGAACAUGUGGUUUAAUUCGAUGAUACGCGAGGAACCUUACCCGGGCUUAAAUUGCAACCGAAUAUGGCGGAAACGCUAUAGCUAGCAAUAGCGGUUGUGAAGGUGCUGCAUGGUUGUCGUCAGCUCGUGCCGUGAGGUGUCGGCUUAAGUGCCAUAACGAGUGCAACCCUUGCCGAUAGUUACUAACAGGUCAUGCUGAGGACUCUGUCGGGACUGCCAUCGUAAGAUGUGAGGAAGGUGGGGAUGACGUCAAAUUAGCACGGCCCUUACGUCCGGGGCUACACACGUGUUACAAUGGGGGGUACAGAGGGCUGCUACCACGCAAGUGGAUGCCAAUCCCAAAAACCUCUCUCAGUUCGGAUUGAAGUCUGCAACCCGACUUCAUGAAGCUGGAUUCGCUAGUAAUCGCGCAUCAGCCACGGCGCGGUGAAUACGUUCCCGGGCCUUGUACACACCGCCCGUCAAGCCAUGGGAGCCGGGGGUACCUGAAGUGCGUAACCGCAAGGAGCGCCCUAGGGUAAAACUGGUGACUGGGGCU
rnacentral:rRNA from 1 species